rnacentral:sRNA from 1 species
UGACGUUGAGAUUUCUAAUAGCCCGAAC